rnacentral:lncRNA from 1 species
AGCCUCUGUUCAGCCACAUUAGUGGUUGGUCGAGGACAUGAGCCAUCAACAAAUCCGAUUUUGUUUUUAGCAGAUAGGGCAACAAUCAUUUUCCUCCUCCAACCUCCAUAACCACUGCCUGAAAAGGGAGUGAACACAAGAGACACACCAAGAACAUCGGAGGAGUAAAUUAGGAGGGGACUAGUAGAGUCUGCGGGGGAGGUAUUAGUAUUCAUAUUAACAGCCAUGAACAAUGAACAGAUUUAACAACAUAGGACCUAGUCUCAAUGAACAGACCACAAUCAAACCAGAACUGGCAUGCAACAUAUACAACACGUAGAACAGUGAAAGUGUUACCCUCCUUCUUCGCGACCGGAGAAGAACGGCCUUCAACCACCAGAUAAGACUAAGUCCGGUCACCGAAGAUUGCAGUUAAUCGGAAACUCACCAAAAUAAGGUCACAAACGUCGGAAGCUUACCCAAAACGCCAAUCGACCGAAAGCAAAGUCAUUGGAUAGCAUCAAAACCCCCAGGUCCGAAAGUCGGAAAACCCUAGAGUUUGAAGAACUCGUCGGAAUAAGACUAGAGAUGUCGGAACAACACCCAAAAUAUCUACUGAUACAUAAUCGGAGCCUCAAACAGUCAGAAAAGUUCCGAUUAUCCGAUUAACAUUCAUCGAAAAAUAUACGAACAGUAUUUUUUCUCAGAUAACCGAAGAAAAACUUCAGAAAAAGCUUCAGCAAGUAUCGAUAACACAUAACAGAGAAGGAUCGGAAGAUUUUUCUGCCCUGAUACCAUGAAAACAUGGAGAUUUGAAGAUGAAAACCAGAGAAAAUAGAGAUGAACAGGAAGAGUCAGAGAGAGAAAAAAUGAGAAGCUUCUAGUUUCUCCCAGAAGCCAAAAU